CACGUAGGGUGCGAGCGUUGUCCGGAAUUAUUGGGCGUAAAGAGCUCGUAGGCGGUCCGUCACGUCGGAUGUGAAAUUCCAGGGCUCAACCCUGGACCUGCAUUCGAUACGGGCGGACUAGAGUUCGGUAGGGGAGACUGGAAUUCCUGGUGUAGCGGUGAAAUGCGCAGAUAUCAGGAGGAACACCGAAGGCGAAGGCAGUCUCCUGGCAAGUUACUGACGCUCAGGUGCGAAAGCUAGGGGAGCGAACAGG
rnacentral:rRNA from 1 species